AAGCGAAAGCCUUGUGUCACAGUUGAAUCACUUCUGAAUAGGAUGUUUCCCAACAGCUCCGAGGAAUUAUUCAUCAACUCUGUACCCUAAUGUUUGUGUGCGCGCAAGACCGUGUUCCCAUGCCUUUCUCAGUGCUCACUCUUGGUCGGCCUCCAGCUCCUUUUUUUUUUCUUCUUUUUGACAAAUUCCCACUUUCUACUCCCCUUUCCCCUGUAAAACACCAGACAUCUACCACUCUGACUGCUCUUUAUUCUGCAGCUGGGCACACUCGAUGAAAAAUACCCAAAUGACAAGCUCAAACAGUGGCCAGUGUCUCUGGGCUUCAGCGUGGCCUUUCAGACGGGAGCUCGCUGCAUGCUUUUGGAUGAAGUCGGCCCAUUGCUUGUGGUAAAUUUCUCCCAGUUUUAUAGGAACAGGAUUUUUUCUCAUAGCAAUGGACAGAAAGGGCAGGGAAAUUACAGCAGUAUG
ensembl:lncRNA